rnacentral:rRNA from 1 species
UACAGAGGUGGCAAGCGUUGUUCGGAAUUACUGGGCGUAAAGGGCGCGUAGGCGGUCCUGUAAGUCCCGUGUGAAAUCCCCCGGCUCAACUGGGGAAUGGCACGGGAGACUGCGGGGCUUGAGUUCGGGAGAGGGAAGCGGAAUUCCGGGUGUAGCGGUGAAAUGCGUAGAUAUCCGGAGGAACACCGGUGGCGAAGGCGGCUUCCUGGACCGACACUGACGCUAAGGCGCGAAAGCUAGGGGAGCAAACGGG